GACGAACGCUGGCGGCGUGCUUAACACAUGCAAGUCGAACGAAGAGCGAUGGAAGCUUGCUUCUAUCAAUCUUAGUGGCGAACGGGUGAGUAACGCGUAAUCAACCUGCCCUUCAGAGGGGGACAACAGUUGGAAACGACUGCUAAUACCGCAUACGAUCUAAUCUCGGCAUCGAGGAUAGAUGAAAGGUGGCCUCUACAUGUAAGCUAUCACUGAAGGAGGGGAGUGCGGCUGAUUAGCUCGUUGGCGGGGUAACGUCCCACCAAGGCGAGGAUCAGUAGCCGGUCUGAGAGGAUGGACGGCCACAUUGGGACUGAGACACGGCCCAGACUCCUACGGGAGGCAGCAGUGGGGAAUCUUCCGCAAUAGACGAAAGUCUGACGGAGCAACGCCGCGUGAGGGAUGACGGCCUUCGGGUUGUAAAGCUCUGUUAAUCGGGACGAAAGGCCUUCUUGCGAAUAGUGAGAAGGAUUGACGGUACCGGAAUAGAAAGCCACGGCUAACUACGUG
rnacentral:rRNA from 1 species